GCCUGGGUAGCUCAGCGGGUUAAGAGUGUGGUGCUAAGAAUGCCAAGGUUGCAAGUUUGUUCCCUGUAUGGGACA